GGUUCGGUAGCUCAGCUGGAUAGAGCAACAGCCUUCUAAGCUGUGGGUCUUGGGUUCGAAUCCCAACCGAAUCACCA
rnacentral:tRNA from 1 species